UAAAGUUACGCUAUAUAACAAAUAUCAAUUUACUAAACAAAAUAACACAUAAGUAUGUCAAGCCAUAGGAGUGAUGAUACCUUCAGGGAUUUGGGGAAGUGGAGCUUCUCUCUUCUUCGCUAUGUGUAAUGGCCUUUAUUGUGUCUGGUUGGAAAUGGUUUGAACGCGAGAAUAAGGCAUAGAUGAAGAAUGAGGAGAGGAUGGGCUCAUGUGGAUUGGCCGCAAUUUGACGAGAUCGGUGUGACCGUUGUUGAGCGUUAAUGGUCAGGAUUUAGAGAUGUAAUGAUUUUCAAUCAAUUUGGGGGAGUAGUGUAAGAAUUUCAUUUGGAUAAGUCAACCAGGUCGUAUUCAUUUCUAAACUUUCCCUCCUUUUUCUAAAAUCCCGUCACCAAAUGUUAUCAUUGAGCCUGUCCGUUUAGAAUAGGGCUAAGGAGGUUUACACGGUGAAAAGGGAUUUGUUGAUGAACAAUAUAUUUUUGAAAUCCGCACUUAUUUGAUGUUGGCUAUAAAUUCACUCAAGUGACUCAACUAGAUCCCCCAAAAACCCCCUAAAAAAAUAAAAAAUAAAAUAAAACUUGAAUGAAAAAUUCUAGAACUGCGCUGCAAAACCCUAAUUCCGAAUUUCAGCCUAAAUUGUUGAUUUGAAUUGCUUGUAUGGCGAUUCUCUCAGACUACGAAGAAGAACACCAGACGCAGACGACGUCAAACAAGCCGUUUACAGCAGCGUUCGAUCCGUCAAACCCUUUAGGAUUUCUGGAGAAGGCUUUUGAGUUUGUGGCGCGAGAGAGCGAUUUAUUCAAGAGUGAUUUCUUGAUCAAGGAUGUGAGUGCUGUGGUUGGAAUGGUGAAGGAGAAAGUGGAAGUCCAGGCGAAGAAGAGGAAAGAAUUGAAGCGUGAACAAAUUGUAAGUGCUGAAAAGAAAAUGAAGGAGGAUCCACCAUUGGCUAAAGAGGUGAAAAAACAGGAGUUGAAGCCGGAGGUGAUGGAGGAGGAAAAGGGAAGUGAUGCUAAAGGGGAAGAGAAAAAUGAACCUCGAGGUAUCCUUCAAUUUUUAUUAUUUGCAAUAUUGUUAUUUAUUACUAGUGGAUUUUGUAGAAUUCGGUUCCGUACAUAUACUUUUUGCAUAUAGUGGCUCCGAGGAAUCAAUUUUUUGGCAUGUCUUCACAAAUUUAGAUCGGGCGAGAUUCUUGUGAUUUAUUUCUUCUGAAAGGUUCCAUUUCUUUGAAUGCAGUUAGAUUUUUCUGUACUGAUCAUGUCAAAUUUUCUCUUUAUGGCUCGGUUCCGUUUAAGUUUGUCCACUGUAUGCUUUGCCUAUUCUGGGAGUUUAGCUGUGACGAUUAAUACCAGGAACUAGAGUUUCAUUAGAUGAUUAGUGCCUUGAAGAAGUGUUGCUUUCGAAUAUGUUUCGUGUUCAAUUUGCUUCUCUGCAUAAGAAAGGCUGUGGAAGUCUUGAUUUGCAGUACUCAUGUUCCUCUGUGUUUGAAUUUCAGCAGGGAAGAAAAAAAUGAGAACAUAAAUUUCUUUAUACCUUUCUUCAUAUAUCAUGGUUUAGAAUUCUAUUUGCUUCUGUUCAAUUGAUUGGUAUAUUAGGAAUCUAUAUAUUUCUUUCAAGUGCCUUUUAAGGAAGAAGGAUGAGGAGAAGAUGUCAACAAUCUCGAGUUGUGCAUUGUUUUUCUUGAUUGCUUGUGGAAAAUAACGGAUACGGCUUGUUGAGGACAAAAUCCCACCAAACGUGCUGGUGCAGCAAAUAUGAAAAGCGAGCUGAAAAAUUAAAAUCCCACCAAUGAUCACAAGAAAGGAAGAAUCUUCACUAUUCAAAACAAAAAUUACUAAUUUCAAACGCUAGUUUAAUAUCUUGCUUUCUUCCUCUCUCUUGACUUUUUUCUGUCUACCCAGAAAAUUUUGGCUGUACCAAUUGUCUCUCUAACACAAUAUUUUCCUCCGCUCCAAAAUUCUUCAAUCCCCUAUCCACUUUAUCUAUAUAUAAUGCAUGGCUUUGCCCUAAAUCUUCAUUGGCCUGCAUUAAUUACACUUUCCUUCCCAUGCAAAUUGCCUUUCGUAAAACAUUCCACAUUGCUGCAAUUCCUCGUGUGCAUGGCUGCCGAAUUCUUCUUUCAGUUAAUUAAUAUAAUCAACUUAAAUAGAAGAACUAAAAAUUUAAUUUGAGUUAAAUACCUAAGUGUGGGCACAGGAACAAGUGCCUGGGAAUUUGCUGUUUUGUGCUUUUGGAGAAUCUUUGUAGUAUUUGUGGAAGCUGUUUCAUUGAUAGAUGUAAGCUUCUUGGAGAAAGGGAGAACAGACUAUGAGACAAUUUUUCUUCCCCCCCUGGAGUUGAAUUAUGAGCUGAAAUGGUAACCAAAAAACUUCUUGGAGAAAGGGUAAACAGACUGAGACAAUUCUUCAUUUUCCCCCUGGAGUUGAAUUAUGAGCUGAAAUGGUAUCUAGAAUCCUUACCGCUUUCUACUUUUGACGAAGUCAUAACUAUUGAGGAAAAGAAAACUUGUCAUUUUUGCAAUCUUCUAAAUGUUUACUUUUUAGAUUUGUAUUCCCAUCUGCAUGGAUUGCAUUUAUGUUACUUAACUGCCAUGCAUUACAGAUCUACUGUAUUUCAGUUCAAUCAACAGUCACACUGAAAAUUACAAUGUAGCGUUACUCUGAUUUUGCUUAUGCUCAUGAAAUGUUAUGUACAUCGUUGAUAAUCUGUACGUGUGACAAGUGACUGCCAACUAUCCAUUCUUCUACCCGUUUAGGGAAGACCACGCAGUGUUGAUUACUAACUGCUGUUUUGUAUAUGAGCAGCUCCUAGUAAAGGCAAUGGACUUGAUAUGGAUUAGUACUCUUGGGGUCAAUCUUUGCAAGAGGUCAAUGUUGUUGUUCCUGUACCUCCUGGAACAAAGUCAAGGUUCAUUGUGUGUGAAUUUAAGAAGAAUUAUCUUGAAGUUGGGCUCAAAGGUUAUCCUCCAGUUAUUGACGUAAGUAUAUCGUGCUGUUCUAUUUAUCUUCUCAUACUGUUAUCAUAGUGUAAAAAGUCAAAUACUUGUGUGUGUUUGCAGGGUGAACUCUUCCUUCCUAUCAAGGUCGAUGAUAGCUUCUGGAGCUUAGGUAGGUCUAAUUGCAUAUUCUGCAAUUGUUUCACACACACACACACACAUAUAUAUUCUGGAUAUGUCUGUUUAUGGAUCAAACAUGUACUUGGAAUGUUAUUUGAAAGGAAAUGGAUGUUAACUGUGGUCCAACUUCUUGUAGAGGAUCAGAAAUCGGUCUCUAUCCUCCUUACCAAGCAGAACGAGAUGGAAUGGUGGAAGUACCUGGUGAAGGGUGAGCCGGAGAUUAAUAUCCAGAAAGUAGAACCUGAAACCAGCAAACUUUCAGAUUUGGAUGCCGAAACACAUUCAACUGUGGAAAAGAUGAUGGUAAUCUCUGAUGUACCAUAACAGCAUUUGAACAUAUGUUUUUACAUUUUUUAUUAUAUUCAUAUAUUUCGAAGAUUUUUGCUGGGUGACGGUUAUAUUAGGAAAGUAAUGAAAUGGUGACCCAGUUUUUGGGCAACUCUUUUAAGUAGUUCAAUUGCUAUUUGCAGUUUGACCAACGACAAAAAUCCAUGGGCCUUCCAACGAGUGAUGAAAUGCAGAAGCAAGAGAUGCUAAAGUAGUUUAUGGCUGAGGUGAACACUGAAUAACUUACCUCGCACUUCUGAUCUCAUUCUUUUGGCAUCUCUAUGUUUUUCAAGUCUCAGUGAUUUACUUAUUUGACUUUGUGGUUUUUUCCAGCAUCCAGAGAUGGACUUUUCAGGGGCAAAAGUUAGCUAAAUGAACAGGAGAGAGCUUUCUGUGCAGAUUACGUUCCUUCUUAAUAUGAUACAUCCGUCGGUGGGAGCUAUUGGUUAUCUUUUUGGGCUUCUCGAUUGAAUUUAAGGCGGAUUUAUUUUUCUGAAUGAGAGGCUUCUUGAUAAUAACUUUUGUCUACAUGAAGCAUCGAUGGUGUUGAAGUUAGUGAUAUCAUUAUACUGUUACCCGUAAAUUCUUGGGCAUUGUUUUCAAAGUGAGCUUUACCAUGAAUAGAAGUAUUAUAAGUGAGACACAGAAUAAUUUGGCUUCCUUCUGCGUCUGGAUUUAAAGAGUAGUAGUUUUACUUUUCAUUUAUCGGUAACUGUAUAUGCUUAAAAGUAAUGCUUAAAAGUUACUUUUGUAGACCUUCUAAAAGAG
rnacentral:lncRNA from 1 species